GCGGCACGCUUCAUACAUGCAAGUCGAGGGGCAGCAUAAAGUACUUGUACUUUGAUGGCGACCGGCGAACGGGUGCGUAACGCGUAUGCAACUUACCUUUUACUAGAGAAUAGCCAAGAGAAAUUUUGAUUAAUGCUCUAUAAUCUUAUAAACUCACAUGAUUUUUUAAGAAAAGCUCCGGCGGUAAAAGAUGGGCAUGCGUCCUAUUAGCUUGUAGGUGAGGUAACGGCUCACCUAAGCUCCGAUAGGUAGGGGUCCUGAGAGGGAGAUCCCCCACACUGGUACUGAGACACGGACCAGACUUCUACGGAAGGCAGCAGUAAGGAAUAUUGGACAAUGGAGGCAACUCUGAUCCAGCGAUGCCGCGUGAAGGAAGACGGCCCUAUGGGUUGUAAACUUCUUUUAUACAGGAAGAAACCUUUCCACGUGUGGAAAGCUGACGGUACUGUAAGAAUAAGGAUCGGCUAACUCCGUGCCAGCAGCCGCGGUAAUACGGAGGAUCCAAGCGUUAUCCGGAAUUAUUGGGUUUAAAGGGUCCGCAGGCUGUUUGUUAAGUCAGGGGUGAAAUCCUACCGCUCAACGGUAGAACUGCCUUUGAUACUGGCAAACUUGAGUUAUUGUGAAGUAGUUAGAAUGUGUAGUGUAGCGGUGAAAUGCAUAGAUAUUACACAGAAUACCGAUUGCGAAAGCAGAUUACUAACAAUAUACUGACGCUGAGGGACGAAAGCGUGGGUAGCGAACAGGAUUAGAUACCCUGGUAGUCCACGCCGUAAACGAUGGUCACUAGCUGUUUGAUGUACAUUGGUACAUUGAGUGGCUAAGCGAAAGUGAUAAGUGACCCACCUGGGGAGUACGCU
rnacentral:rRNA from 1 species